rnacentral:rRNA from 1 species
GACGAACGCUGGCGGCGUGCUUAACACAUGCAAGUCGAACGGAAAGGCCCUGCUUUUGUGGGGUGCUCGAGUGGCGAACGGGUGAGUAACACGUGAGUAACCUGCCCUUGACUUUGGGAUAACUUCAGGAAACUGGGGCUAAUACCGGAUAGGAGCUCCUGCUGCAUGGUGGGGGUUGGAAAGUUUCGGCGGUUGGGGAUGGACUCGCGGCUUAUCAGCUUGUUGGUGGGGUAGUGGCUUACCAAGGCUUUGACGGGUAGCCGGCCUGAGAGGGUGACCGGCCACAUUGGGACUGAGAUACGGCCCAGACUCCUACGGGAGGCAGCAGUGGGGAAUAUUGCACAAUGGGCGGAAGCCUGAUGCAGCAACGCCGCGUGCGGGAUGACGGCCUUCGGGUUGUAAACCGCUUUCGCCUGUGACGAAGCGUGAGUGACGGUAAUGGGUAAAGAAGCACCGGCUAACUACGUGCCAGCAGCCGCGGUGAUACGUAGGGUGCGAGCGUUGUCCGGAUUUAUUGGGCGUAAAGGGCUCGUAGGUGGUUGAUCGCGUCGGAAGUGUAAUCUUGGGGCUUAACCCUGAGCGUGCUUUCGAUACGGGUUGACUUGAGGAAGGUAGGGGAGAAUGGAAUUCCUGGUGGAGCGGUGGAAUGCGCAGAUAUCAGGAGGAACACCAGUGGCGAAGGCGGUUCUCUGGGCCUUUCCUGACGCUGAGGAGCGAAAGCGUGGGGAGCGAACAGGCUUAGAUACCCUGGUAGUCCGCGCUGUAAACGGUGGGUACUAGGUGUGGGGUCCAUUCCACGGGUUCCGUGCCGUAGCUAACGCUUUAAGUACCCCGCCUGGGGAGUACGGCCGCAAGGCUAAAACUCAAAGGAAUUGACGGGGCCCCGCACAAGCGGCGGAGCAUGCGGAUUAAUUCGAUGCAACGCGUAGAACCUUACCUGGGUUUGACAUGGAUCGGGAGUGCUCAGAGAUGGGUGUGCCUCUUUUGGGGUCGGUUCACAGGUGGUGCAUGGCUGUCGUCAGCUCGUGUCGUGGGAUGUUGGGUUAAGUCCCGCAACGAGCGCAACCCUUGUUCACUGUUGCCAGCACGUUAUGGUGGGGACUCAGUGGAGACCGCCGGGGCCAACUCGGAGGAAGGUGGGGAUGACGUCAAGUCAUCAUGCCCCUUAUGUCCAGGGCUUCACGCAUGCUACAAUGGCUGGUACAGAGAGUGGCGAGCCUGUGAGGGUGAGCGAAUCUCGGAAAGCCGGUCUCAGUUCGGAUUGGGGUCUGCAACUCGACCUCAUGAAGUCGGAGUCGCUAGUAAUCGCAGAUCAGCAACGCUGCGGUGAAUACGUUCCCGGG